rnacentral:lncRNA from 1 species
AGAACAUUCCUGCCACUUCAGUUCAACAGCCAUCUGAAGCCCACCUGUGAGCUGGUCCAGGAAAUGAUGGACUCUGAUUUCCACACCCCUUUCCUGUGAACUUGUCUCCAAUUUAGUCUGUCAAGGUCCCUUUCUUGUGAGUUAAUUUCUCCCUAGUGCUACUUCUCAGAUUGGCCAGUGACUCACAGAGUGGCACAAGUACAAAUCCAGCCUGCCUUGCAUCCAACACAGAUUCCAGGACCACUGAAACCAGCUGAGGCAUCCUGAAAGCCUAAGAUUGACCACACCAGAGGAACCAGACUGCCCUUCACAAGGAAACCUGGCGUGGAAACACAUUGCUUCCCUAACACUUUCCUGAAGGAGCUUGGACGACUUGACUCAGGCAGGUUGAGAGACCAGAAAGCCAUCCAGAGAGAGCAGGGACCCAGCCAUCCACCACCUGGUUCUACUCCCACCCUAAGUCUUUCCUCUGAUGGAUUACUGAGUGCUUAUUUGAUCCAUGAUUGUCAAUCAUCCAUCCUUGCAACAUUUAACAAAAUACAGACCCACUCUGUUCUCAGAAAGCACCACACAGAGAUUCUGAAGCACUAAUCAGGAUGUAGAAAAACACUCCAGUCACCCUGCAUUGGAAACGGAGAAGUGCUUUCAGAGCCAUACUUCCUGCUGCGAGGUCAUUAGCAGUGCGUCCAUCCACAGCAAAGUGUUUUGCCACAGGAUGGAAAUUAUCUGGUUCCACCCCUGGAUAUGAUCAACCUUCAUAGACUGUGCAUUAUACAUGCCAUCUCUGCGACCUGCAAAGAUGAAAAGGGAAAGCAGGAGAUGGAAACUGGUCAGCAGCCUUCUGGUUUAUCAGCCACACUUACAAAGGUCAAAUGUGCAAAGCGUCAGAAGACAGUGGUUAGAGUGAGAUUCUACAUGCUCUCAAUGAAGAAUAAAGCAUGCAGGAAGAACCUUUCAAAAGGUUACAACCAGAGACCUGAAGGAAGCAAGGAAGAAAGCCACAUGGUUGUCAAAGAGAAGAGGAAAGGAGAUCACUAAGCUGGAUGACGUUUUCUGUUUCUUUGAAAACAGAGAAGAUGACAAGUUAGGGAGAGAUCAGAGGUCAUACUGUGAAGCACCUUUGGAUAAACGGCAGGGACUUUGGAUUUUCUUUUUGAAUAUAAGCAUAAUCCAUUGAAAGGUCUCAUGCAGGGAAGUGGCAAAACACUUUUAAAAUUUUUCAUCUUUUCUUUCUGAAGCAGAGUUCACUCUCCAUUUAUUUGUCUUCUUUGAUAUCUCUCAAUAGAAUGUUGCAGUUUUAGUAUUCUCCUAUUAAACAUUUGUUUAACUUUCU